rnacentral:rRNA from 1 species
UAAGGAAUAUUGGGCAAUGGACGCAAGUCUGACCCAGCCAUGCCGCGUGGAGGAUGAAGGUCCUCUGGAUUGUAAACUUCUUUUAUCAGGGAAGAAAUCUGUGUAUUCUUACGCAGUUGACGGUACCUGAGGAAUAAGCACCGGCUAACUCCGUGCCAGCAGCCGCGGUAAUACGGAGGGUGCAAGCGUUAUCCGGAUUCACUGGGUUUAAAGGGUGCGUAGGCGGGUUUGUAAGUCAGUGGUGAAAUCCCCGAGCUUAACUUGGGAACUGCCGUUGAUACUAUAAAUCUUGAAUAUCGUGGAGGUGAGCGGAAUAUGUCAUGUAGCGGUGAAAUGCUUAGAGAUGACAUAGAACACCGAUUGCGAAGGCAGCUCACUACGCGAUUAUUGACGCUGAGGCACGAAAGCGUGGGGAUCAAACAGG